AUAUGUGUUGCCAUGUAUUGGUUGCAAAUUAUAUAUGUUAUAAGACUACAGAUGUACAUAAUUAAAAAUGAAAUUAAUUCAGUGCAAAAAUAAAUUAAUUAAGCAUGCCGGUACCCAUAAUGAAUGUGGUGCGAAAUCUGUGCUAACUGUCCAACCAAAACCAAAUCGCGCGAAGUCCACCCCUUUAUUCUCCGAUCCAAAUUGAUAUUCGCCUUCAAGUACGAAUCGAUCUAGGUCUUACUGCGACACAAAUCAAUCGUACAAAUCUCCUCUCGCUGAGCGGGAAGGCUUGAAGGCGGAUAGAAAGGGGAUCGGCAGAAAGGCGGCGACGGACUGCGAGGAGCGGGAAGGCGGCAACGGAGAGGGGAGCGGCGGCAUUGCAGACAACACAGAAAGUAGAAAAGGUCACGGUAGGAGGGCUUGAAGUCCUAUGCUAGUGUCCCCUGCUCCUCCGGCUGCCACUCUGGCCUGCCCGUUGUCGGCGCGCUGCUCCUCUGGUCGCCCCUCUUCUCUCUCGUCGUGUAGGACGGGAAGACUGACCUCCGAGGUAACCCUCCCUUCCUCCUUCCUUCCCGUCUCCUCUCAUCAAGUCACCUUAUUCAUGGCCACUCGAGACAUGGCUGUGGGAUGUAGGGGGAUUGGUAGGUAAUGAAGGGGAUGGACCGUAUAGGAGAUAUGGAUCCAUUCCUCUGUCUUUUGCGAUCAAAUCAUAGAGAGGAGCUUCGGGCUUCUUCUUACAAUUUCAGAUAUGUAUUGUACCACCUGGGUUAUGUUCAGUUGUUUGGGAUUUGUUCCCAACGGGGAAUUGAUCACCAUGGGGUUUGAGUGAAACCUUUCACUGUUACUCUAAUCCCUGUUGGGUUUGUCUCCUGAACCUCCUAAUGCAUGUCUACUUCAUUGUUAUUCGGUUGGUUAGGGAUUGAACAAAAUUUGUACAGGAAUAAAGUAUUAACGUGGCGCUAAGUGAACAUUCAUCAAUGAAUUUUGUUUGUAU
rnacentral:lncRNA from 1 species